rnacentral:rRNA from 1 species
UACGGAGGGUGCAAGCAUUAAUCGGAUUUAUUGGGCGUAAAGGGCGCGUAGGCGGAAGGAUAAGUCAGAUGUGAAAUCCCGGGGCUCAACCUCGGAACAGCAUUUGAAACUAUCUUUCUAGAGGGUAGGCGGAGAAAACGGAAUUCCACAAGUAGCGGUGAAAUGCGUAGAUAUGUGGAAGAACACCGGUGGCGAAGGCGGUUUUCUAGCUUACUCCUGACGCUGAGGCGCGAAAGCAAGGGGAUCAAACAGG